GCGCAUUUCGUUUAUCUUGAAGAUCGAAUAAUAUUCGUAAUGAGUCACACCAAACAUUGGUGUGAAAUUUAUUACUGGGACGUUGAACGUGCAUAAAUCAACUAAGAAAUGUAAACAUACGGUAUGCUAAGUAUUAGCACUUUUCAUCGGUUCACGACUUUUGGACAAAGAUACGAGAUACCGGCAUAAUGAUUCGAGCUCACAUGUACAAAUAUUAUAAAUUUCGCCUAUGAUCCAUUUAAAUGUUUAAUCGAAACAAAUGCGACAGGACGUGAUUUCUGGACAAAAGGAUUAAGUUACGUAUUAUUAAUAGGUCAAUGGCUGUUUCGAUAAAUCUCAUAGUAUGGAAACGUGGAAUGUUCAAAAGGAGUAUACCAAGGAAAUUACAUCUUGGGAGGAGUUUAUAGUAUCUUGAAAUAUUAAAAUAUUUUCUGGUGAGAAACAGCCGUGGGUCCAUGACUUUCCUCCUACAACUCUUUAUUACACCUUCAUGUUUAUUCGUUGAAAUAAGAUUAUAUACCCAAGGAAAACUAAAAAAAAAUAUUAGAAAGUGAUGAGGCGAGACUCCAUAUACCUAGAAGCAUUUCCCCUUGACUGCACACAACCGAGAUGUGUAUCUGGAAAAGGGAGAACCAGGAAGAGUCGACCAUUACUGGAGGGUGAGAGUUAGGGAGAGACAAG